ACGGGUGAGUAACGCGUGGGAAUCUACCCAUCUCUACGGAACAACUCCGGGAAACUGGAGCUAAUACCGUAUACGUCCUUCGGGAGAAAGAUUUAUCGGAGAUGGAUGAGCCCGCGUUGGAUUAGCUAGUUGGUGGGGUAAUGGCCUACCAAGGCGACGAUCCAUAGCUGGUCUGAGAGGAUGAUCAGCCACACUGGGACUGAGACACGGCCCAGACUCCUACGGGAGGCAGCAGUGGGGAAUAUUGGACAAUGGGCGCAAGCCUGAUCCAGCCAUGCCGCGUGAGUGAUGAAGGCCCUAGGGUUGUAAAGCUCUUUCAACGGUGAAGAUAAUGACGGUAACCGUAGAAGAAGCCCCGGCUAACUUCGUGCCAGCAGCCGCGGUAAUACGAAGGGGGCUAGCGUUGUUCGGAAUUACUGGGCGUAAAGCGCACGUAGGCGGAUACUUAAGUCAGGGGUGAGAUCCCGGGGCUCAACCCCGGAACUGCCUUUGAUACUGGGUAUCUCGAGUCCGGAAGAGGUGAGUGGAAUUCCGAGUGUAGAGGUGAAAUUCGUAGA
rnacentral:rRNA from 1 species